AUAGUCCUCCUUUAAAAUCCAGCAACUAUUGUUUCUACAAUAUUAAGAUCUUCUCUAUAUAAAAUUAAAAGAUAAUUGUAAUGUUUGUAAACUUUCUAUUUCAAACUUGUGACUUAGAGACUUCAAGCUAUGUAUUUUGGAUCAGAAUAAAUGGCCAUGUCCCUUUAAAAAGUCUUUGUUAAAUUAGUUUUUAAAAAUACUGACCAAAAGAAGGUUUCUUAUUGUUUCAGAGUUCAUUAAAUGAUUUCCAUACAUGAAAAAUGUAAUUUACUUGAAGUUCUUGUCUUAGUUUCAGUUUUCAGUUGUUUUUAAGAGUCUUAUAUUGAACCGUAGGUAACAGAUAGACUGAAUCCAUAGAUGCACAACAUUUUGCGACGUGUAUAUUUUGAAGUUUCCAAGAUAGUUAAAUUACUGCUGUGAUACAUUUAAUGCAUUUUUCUGAUUUCGUUAUAGAACAUUUAGAUGUAUUUUCCUUGUUUUCACUAGGAACAGGGAACCCAUGCAUGCUUUGGUAAAGUGCUGAAAUUUAAGUGGUCACCAUAUUGCUUAAGUUUGUUUUGUAAUAAGUUCUGUUAUAUUGGGUUAGCAUGUAAAUAGGAACAAUUUGCAAAGCCCAAUUUUAUGCCUUAUCUGCUAACAUAUAAAUUUCUUUAAUUUCUUACUUUUUAAAAGUAACAUACUGUUUAAAGUUGCAGUUUUACUAAUAGUAAGAUGAACAUUUAAAUAUGUGUUUUCUUCUUCAAAUGUUUAAAAUGUUUAGAGCAUUCAAUAUUUGGUUGAUAUCACUUGAUUAAAGUUACCCAUUUAACAUUUAUAUUUGAUGUAUUUGUAUUUAAUAAAGGCAGAAUCUAUAGUUCCACUGUAAAUUUAAUACUUUCUGCAGGUUUGAGGGCAUUUUCCAAGUGUAACUUAACUUACCAGUGUUUAUGUGGAAUCUACACGGAUGGCGAGGCUGCACAUCAAACUGCUGGAUUUCAGAAUUUUCCUCUUUUAUAGGCUUUUUGGUUUUAUUUUACAUAUUAAUUUGUCUCCAAUUAUUACCAGAUCCAUCCCAAAUGUCUACCAGGAAU
rnacentral:lncRNA from 1 species